UACAGAGGGUGCAAGCGUUAAUCGGAAUUACUGGGCGUAAAGCGCGCGUAGGUGGUUUGUUAAGUUGGAUGUGAAAGCCCCGGGCUCAACCUGGGAACUGCAUUCAAAACUGACAAGCUAGAGUAUGGUAGAGGGUGGUGGAAUUUCCUGUGUAGCGGUGAAAUGCGUAGAUAUAGGAAGGAACACCAGUGGCGAAGGCGGCUCACUGGCCCGAUACUGACGCUGAGGUGCGAAAGCUAGGGGAGCAAACGGG
rnacentral:rRNA from 1 species